rnacentral:rRNA from 1 species
AGGAUUCCCCUAGUAACUGCGAGUGAAGCGGGAAAAGCUCAAAUUUAAAAUCUGGCAGUCUUUGGCUGUCCGAGUUGUAAUUUAGAGAAGCACUGCCGGUGCUGGACUGUGUACAAGUCUCCUGGAAUGGAGCGUCAUAGAGGGUGAGAAUCCCGUAUAUGACACAGUUGCCAGGGCUUAGUGGCCUGCUCUCCAAGAGUCGAGUUGUUUGGGAAUGCAGCUCAAAAUGGGUGGUAAAUUCCAUCUAAAGCUAAAUACAGGCGAGAAACCGAUAGCGAACAAGUACCGUGAGGGAAAGAUGAAAAGAACUUUGGAAAGAGAGUUAAACAGUACGUGAAAUUGUUGAAAGGGAAACGCUUGAAGUCAGUCACAUUGCUGGAAAUCACACUUGCUUUCAUUGCUUGUGGCUCUUUCCUAGUAAUGGGUCAGCAUCAGUUUUGAUUGUUGGACAAGGGUUAGAGGAAUGUGGCAUCCUUGGAUGUGUUAUAGCCUCUGAUCAUAUGCAAUGAUGGAGACUGAGGAACUCAGCACUUUUGUGCUUAGGAUGCUGGCAUAAUGGCUUUAAUCGACCCGUCUUGAACCACCGGACCAAAAU